rnacentral:rRNA from 1 species
GGUACCGGGGGGGAAGAGGGGGGGGUAUGACGGAGGAGGCAGUCGUUGUCCGGAGUUACGUGGCGUAAAGGGCGCGCAGGGGGCAAGGUAAGGAAGGUGUUAAAUCUACCUGCGCAACGGGUAGGGUGCACUUUAGACUGCUUUGCUUGAGGUCGGUAGAGGGGGGUGGAAUUGCUGGUGUAGCGGUGAAAUGCGUAGAGAUCAGCAGGAACACCCGUGGCGAAGGCGGCCCCCUGGGCCGUACCUGACGCUGAGGCGCGAAGGCUAGGGGAGCGAACGGGAUUAGAUACCCUAGUAGUC